GUCAGGCUGGAAGGGGCCUCUGGAGAUCACAUCUCAUCCAACCCCAUGCCAGAGGCAGGAUCCUUAGCCAAACCAUCCCAGACAAGUGAUUGUCUAACCUAUUACUAAUGUAGCAGGCUUAGCUUUCAGAGCUGGGGUUGAGUCCCAGGCUGGAGAUCCUGCUGUUUUGAUUGGUGGAAGCCAUCCACCAAUCAGGAGGCAGCAACGGAAAUAAUAUUAUGCCCCUUUCCUGAGGGGAGGGGGGGGAGGAGCUCUCCUGGACCUGAUUGAAGACUGCAAACUGGCAGGUCCGGAAGAGCUCAGAGGCGGAGCCUGGAGAGUAUAAAAGGAGCUUGUGUGCCCAGCACAAAGGAGAUGUGUUGAGACUGAGAAGAGAGAAGAGCAAGGCUUAGGAGAGUGGAGGAGAGCUGCUCAGCAAGGUGAAGCAGUAGCCCAGGAAGAGCCCCUGAAGACUUCAAUCAGCGUGGAGCUGGGGACGGCUCCAGCAAUUAGGCUCUCAGUACACAGCACCAUGCACGGCGUCCAGACCCUGGGAGCUGUGUGAAGCGGCUCGGGUCUGCAACCUCUGGCAUGCAGCCAGAGACAUGGUGCACAGGCCGGUGUACAGAGCAGGAUCUUUGGAGACCCCAGGACAGCUCAGGUCCUCAACCCCCAGAACAAGGCUGGGAGCUCAGUGCAGGAGGCGCUGGGAGCCGCUUGAGGUGGCUCAGGUCUACAGCUGCUGACACGGGGCAGCAGCUCAGUGCAGACGAUGGUGCCCAGAUGGUCCGGGAACAGACCGAGCCCCGGUGCUGCAUAAGGCUGUCCAGGUCUCCAACCUCUAGCACAAGGCAAAGCACCCACUACACACAGCGGUGCACGUGGCCCUAAGCCAGGACAGUGGCAGGAAAACCCAAUGGGCAACAGAGCCUGACCUGGAGAACAAGAGGCAACCCUCCAGGACUGUGGAAUAGGGUGCACCGAUACAUCGGUCUAACAUUGAACUGGCACCGAUAUAAAGAAAAUUACCUACAUCAGAAAUCGUGCUUAAGUGGCUGAUAAUUUGGCUGAUAAAUGCACGUGCGCAGCUGCAGCGCAGCACAUGGGCAGCAAAGAGCACAGCUGGCAGCAUGGACAGCUGCUUGCAGCAGAUUCUCCGUACACUUCCUGUAUCUUCCUCGAAACGCAGGGCCCAAAACUGGACACGUUUUACCUCGCCAGUGCCAAAUAAAGCAGGAUGACUCAAAGGUGGGUAGCCCAUCACUGCUGCUUUCUGUGCACACAAGAGACCGAUGGAAAGGCACUUGGGCACCCCAGGGACACAUAAGCCUCGAGGGUAGGGUAGCAGGGAGAGGGGCAGGGCUGUUAGCUCAGCUCCUUACCCCAAAAAUGGGGCAUUUACAGGGCAAUUGCAGGGGUACCCUCCAAAUGCAUCAUGACAAAGAGGACACUGAGUGACAGGGACAGCUCAGCAGUGGGAGUCUGAAGUGGAGGUUUUGGGGCAAACACCAGGACUCAGCAGGAUUUUGGUGGCCCAGGAAGCUCCUUUCUGGACCACGGCUUUCUCCAGCACCUGAAUCCUACCAAUGGACAUGUGGGGGUCUCUCUGCACAAGCCCCGCUCCAGCCCAGGCCAGAGUUGGCAGUAGGGAGGCCAAGGGGAAGCUCUCCAGCUUGGUUAUGCAAGAUCCAGUCACAAUGGCUGAGGUCAGUCUUCUCAUAGGAUCAUACAUCAGGAUGGCUUCAAGAGACCUCCCAAAGCCACAUCUAAUCCAGACCCGUGCUCAAGGCAAGAUCCUCCCUGACUAAACCAUCUCAGCUGACCUGCUCUUGACAACUUCCAAGCACGGAGAUGCCACAAUAUCCAUAAGCAACCUCUUCCAAUGCUUGACCACCCUCGUAGUCAGAAAGCUCCUCUUCAUCUCCAACCUCCAUCUCCCCUGCUACAGCUUGAGGCCACCGCUCCAAGUCUUAUGGCCACAGAGGAAAGCCCAUCUCCAUCCUCUCUAUUCAGGUAUUUAAAGACUUGGAUCAUAUCCUUCUCCAAAUUAAAUUGCCCUAACUUUCUGCCUUUCCUCAUAAAUCAUGCUUCCCAGGCGCUUAAUAAUUAUUAUUUUUUGCUCUGCGCUGAAAUCCUUCCAAACUAUUCACAUCCUACUGGAAGUGUGGGGCCCAAAACUGGACACAGGACUCCAGGUGAGGUCACACCAGUGCUGAAUAGAGAGAAAGACCCACUUCCCUGGAUCUGCAAGCGACAUCCCAAAAUGCUGAUGUGUUGGGUUUUUUUGUGGUGGCUUUUCUAAAGUUAUUCUUUUUCUCCUACUUUGUUCUCCGAUACGCUUGUCCUAUAAGUCAUUUUGCUCUCUUGCCAUUAUUGGGAAGGGCAGCAUAGGAAACACCUAAAUAAAUCCAUUCCCAACACAGUUUGGGACUUGCAGGCCCCGUCACAGGGAGCGGGUCUUGGAAAGCCUGCAGCGGGGAAUGUGUGGGAACCACACACAAACCAGCUGCAGGGCUGGGAUCUGUGGGCAUGCAGAUAGAAAGUUGGAAAGGACAAACCUCUUCUGCAGGGAAGCAAACAGACUCAUGCUAUUGCCAAGACCAGCGAUUAGGUCCUGGCAAUACAUCAACUGCUCUCCUUAAAUCAACCCUAUUGUAAUAGAUAACCUGGGGUUCCUUUUUCUUUAAUUUUGGUUGAAGUCUUUAGCAGUUUCCUUUCCCCGCCUACAGUCAAAGUGAUGGGAUGAUGCACAUCGUUGGCAUCGGGGACUACGAUCGGGGUCAGUGGCCAGACCUGACAGCUUCGGUCACGGGGGCAAGAAACUCUGGGAGUAAGAGGCCAAGACUGAUGGCUGUAAAAGCUUGUACAUGAAAUACAAAAUAAUGGUGCCUCUUGCACCAAAGUGCAAGAUAGCAGCUGGGGCAAGAUUGGGUUGUGGUAACAAGUCUGCCACCAAGAAAAUCAAACUCCACUGAUGGCUUGCAGCCCAUUAGGUGUAAGAGAGUGGAGCUUACGGUACCAAAUACCAGACCCUUGCCAUAAGACGGUAACAGUCCUCAACCUUUCACCACACCUGAGCCAAAAACAAAUCGAAGUGUUGGUUCAAAUGAUGGGCAAAGACCUGAUGCACUCAUUACAUGCAUAUAACAUGACUCAGAGAGCAAGCCAGAAAGCCAAAAGGCCUGGGGAGAAAUGGAGGGAUGUGGAUAUGCAUCUCAACUGAGAUGCAGUGAGCUAAGUGUCACUAAAGGAAACAAAAGAACUCAAAUAUCCACUUCAAAGUAAAGCCUGUAAGAGAGAGGAGAAAAGCCAAGGUGCACUGAAAACAUGACUGUCAAUAUAUCCUGGUUAACACAUUCCCCCUCUGAUUAAGACCUAUUUCCCAAAGCAAACAUCCAAUACCCGGUCUAAAGUUUUACCAGUGUCUCCAUGCUUAUUAUGCUAAAUCGGCCUCUGUGACUGCAUCUAACCUACUUCACACCUAUUGUCUGAUCCGCACUGCCUGGCAUUUGCAUUCAUUAAGGCAUCUCCCUCAAAACAGGCCGUUAAUCUCUAAAUGUUUAUUAUGCUAAACCAGUGUAUCUUCCUGAAAUCGCACCUAAUGUACCCAACAGCCUCUGAUCCAUUUACAUUUUAACAAACCUGCUUUGGUCUAAGAAAAGGCAUCCCAGAAACUUGUAACAUCUUCCCUUAAUCAAGAUCUCUCUCAAAACGGGGGUGUAGGUUGUAGCCGUGUUGAUCUAAGGACACAGGCAGACAAGGCUCUUUGGGUACAUCUGAUUUGGGGGUUGGACUCGAUGAUCUAUUGAGGUCACUUUCGACCCUAACAUCUAUGAAUUUAUGGAUCUCUUGUAUUAGACCAGCUCAUGUAGUUGGACAAAAUCUUCUUUGCAAGCUCCACUCUCUCUUACAUCUAAUGGGUUGCAAGCCGGUAGCGUGUUUGAUUGUCUUUGCAAGCUUGCACAGAAGAAUUUGUCCAACUAUGUGAGUUGGUCUAAUAUGAGAUCAGAUUUACCCAAAGAGCCUUGUCUCUCCCUCUCUCAAAACAGGCAUUCGAUGUCUGUCAAAGAUCUCCAAAAGCCAUUUGAUGCAGCUCCAUUGUUAAAAUAACUACCCAAAGACAGACUUCUGCAAUCAGCUUCCUCAAGGGACCUCAUUCGAUCAAUACCCAAUCCCAGUCGAUCCCAAACGGAACAAAAGCUUGCAAACACCACACAGACCAGAUGCAAGUGUAAUAUGUUAAUGCUGCCCUCACCUGCUUUGUUCUGACUUUGAUUAAUCAACUCUCCAGGAGGAAUGCUUUGAAGCUACACAAUUCACACAGUACAAAAAGCAAGACAGACCUGCCAGCAAGGUGUGCGGUCCAGGGAAGAUCAGAAAGCCAUCCUGCACCUAAAAUGGGACUAUGUGAAAUGUGCUGGGACUACAGGAAGAGAGAAGAGGAUGAGGGGAAAGAAAUGGCAGGCCUCAUAUGGAGGAGAGGGGUCUGGAAUAGGCUUUUUCAGGGGCAGGCCCUCCGAGGAGGGUACGGGUACGGAGAUGGGUGCACGGAUACACAGCGCAAACUGUGUAAUGGGUUUUUUAUUGUUUAACUGUCAAAGUGUGCUUUGAUCUGCCAGGUGAACCACGGGGGCUGUUUGGCAGUGUUGGAGGUAAAGUUUAUAUAUGUAUUUAUUUAUUCUCUACUCAUUUAUAUAGAGAGAAACGAAUAGUUUUGCACCAAAAAAAAUAGCUACCCUGCAUCCAGCCCACAAGUAAAGGACCCGCACUCUGUGAAGCUGUACAAGAAUUGCUUCCUGCCUGCUCUUGCAACUAAGAUAAUGCAAGGACUAAUAACACUUCGUUUAUUGAAUAGUAAGGAAAAGUCUUUUUGGCUUUUCCUGAGUAAAUCUGAUAUCUUUUAUCAGACCAAGUCAAAUAGUUGGAAACAUUCUUCUUUGCAAGCUUUCGGGUAUAAAUACCCUUCGUCAGACCGAGGAAGCACCUGUGUUUUUCUGCUGUUUCGUUUUAUAGUUUGUUGGUAGUUAUUAAAGCAAGCCUUUCUGCUAUUCAGCAA